GGGGCAACCUGGCGACGAGUGGCGAACGGGUGAGUAAAGCAUCGGAACAUGCCCAGUAGUGGGGGAUAGCCCGGCGAAAGCCGGAUUAAUACCGCAUACGACCUGUGGGUGAAAGCGGGGGAUCGCAAGACCUCGCGCUAUUGGAGUGGCCGAUGUCAGAUUAGGUAGUUGGUGGGGUAAAGGCCUACCAAGCCGACGAUCUGUAGCUGGUCUGAGAGGACGACCAGCCACACUGGGACUGAGACACGGCCCAGACUCCUACGGGAGGCAGCAGUGGGGAAUUUUGGACAAUGGGGGCAACCCUGAUCCAGCCACGCCGCGUGCGGGAAGAAGGCCUUCGGGUUGUAAACCGCUUUUGUCAGGGAAGAAAUCCUUUGAGCUAAUACCUCGGGGGGAUGACGGUACCUGAAGAAUAAGCACCGGCUAACUACGUGCCAGCAGCCGCGGUAAUACGUAGGGUGCAAGCGUUA
rnacentral:rRNA from 1 species